AGUCGAACGGAGUUUACAGGCAGAAGUUUUCGGAUGGAAGCUUGUAAACUUAGUGGCGGACGGGUGAGUAACACGUGAGCAACCUGCCUAUCAGAGGGGGGUAACGAUUGGAAACGAUCGCUAAUACCGCAUGACAUAGCGGAACCGCAUGGUUCUGUUAUCAAAGAUUUUAUCGCUGAUAGAUGGGCUCGCGUCCGAUUAGAUAGUUGGUGGGGUAACGGCCUACCAAGUCGACGAUCGGUAGCCGGACUGAGAGGUCGAACGGCCACAUUGGGACUGAGACACGGCCCAGACUCCUACGGGAGGCAGCAGUGGGGGAUAUUGCACAAUGGGGGAAACCCUGAUGCAGCGACGCCGCGUGAGGGAAGACGGUCCUCUGGAUUGUAAACCUCUGUCUUCGGGGACGAAACGAGACGGUACCCGAGGAGGAAGCCACGGCUAACUACGUGCCAGCAGCCGCGGUAAUACGUAGGUGGCAAGCGUUGUCCGGAAUUACUGGGUGUAAAGGGAGCGUAGGCGGGCAGGCAAGUCAGGCGUGAAAUAUAUCGGCUCAACCGGUAACGGCGCUUGAAACUGCAGGUCUUGAGUGAAGUAGAGGUUGGCGGAAUUCCUAGUGUAGCGGUGAAAUGCGUAGAUAUUAGGAGGAACACCAGUGGCGAAGGCGGCCAACUGGGCUUUUACUGACGCUGAGGCUCGAAAGUGUGGGGAGCAAACAGGAUUAGAUACCCUGGUAGUCCACACCGUAAACGAUGAU
rnacentral:rRNA from 1 species